rnacentral:rRNA from 1 species
GGGGGUGUGUUACCUCACCAGGUCCAGACAGCGUAAGGAUUGACAGGUUGAUUGUCCUUUCUUGAUUCUCUGGGUAGUGGUGCAUGGCCGUUCUUAGUUGGUGGAGUGAUUUGUCUGGUUAAUUCCGUUAACGAACGAGACCUUAACCUGCUAUUUAGUCGCUCGGUCCGUGUCCGUGCGCACUUCAUAGAGGGACUCUGCGGCGUCAAGCUGCGGUGAGGUUUAAGGCAAUAACAGGUCUGUGAUGCCCUUAGAUGUCCUGGGCUGCACGCGCGCUACACUGAUGCUUGCCUCGUGUUUACCCUCGGCCGAUAGGCCCUGGUAACCCCUAGUCUGCAUCGUGUUUGGGAUUGAUCUUUGCAAUUCUAGAUCAUGAACGAGGAAUGCCUAGUAUGCGCAAGUCAUCAGCUUGUGCAGAUUACGUCCCUGCCCUUUAUACACACCGCCCGUCGCUCCUACCGAUCGAGUGAUCCGGUGAAUUAUUCGGAACCCGCGUGCUCCAUGCGUCCUUGCGUGCGGGCCAAGUUUUGUGAACCUUAUCACUUA